GCAAACUUGGUCAUUUAGAGGAAGUAAAAGUCGUAACAAGGUUUCCGUAGGUGAACCUGCGGAAGGAUCAUUAUCGAGUUAGGGUCCUUGAGGCCCGACCUCCAACCCUGUGUUUACCUGACCGCGUUGCUUCGGCGGGCCCGCCGGCCGUCCCUUGGGGGAGGCUGGCCGCCGGGGGGGAACGUUUUUAAGACGACCCCUGGCCCGUGCUCGUCGAUGGCCAACCUCACAAACUCGUGAUGAAUUGUGUUGUCUUAAAGUACCAAAUUAAAUAAAUCAAAACUUUCAACAACGGAUCUCUUGGUUCUGGCAUCGAUGAAGAACGCAGC
rnacentral:misc_RNA from 1 species